CAAUAGCGUAUAUUAAAGUUGUUGCAGUUAAAAAGCUCGUAGUUGGAUUUCUGGUAGGAGCGACCGUGCCGAACUUGAUUGUUCGAGUAUUGUGUUGUCUUCAGCCAUCCUCGUGGAGAACUUUUCUAACAUUAACUUGUUGGGAUUGGGACCCGCGUCGUUUACUGUGAAAAAUUAGAGUGUUUAAAGCAGGCAUUAGCUUGAAUACAUUAGCAUGGAAUAAUAAGAUAGGACUUUGGUACUAUUUUGUUGGUUUGCAUACCAAAUUAAUGAUCAACAGGAACAGUUUGAGGAUAUUCGUAUGAACAUGUCAGAGGUGAAAUUCUUGGAUUUUGAUCAGACGAACUACUGCGAAAGCAUUUAUCAAGGAUGUUUUCAUUAA
rnacentral:rRNA from 1 species